rnacentral:snRNA from 1 species
AGCAGGGCGAUCUGGCUGCGACAUCUGUCACCCCAUUGGUCGCCAGGGUUGAUUCGGCUGAUCUGGCUGGCUAGGCGGGUGUCCCCUUCCUCCCUCACCGCUCCGCUCCACGUGAGUCCCUCUGGAAGCUGCACGCUCGGUCGGUCGAAGAGGACGACCUUCCCCGAAUAGAGGAGGACUGGUCUUUGGUCAAGGGUAUACGAGUAGCUGCGCUCCCCUGCUAGAACCUCCAAACAAGCUCUCUCCUGCUUCCUAAGCAACAAAAUUAUGGCCCUCAAGGUUCCACUUGAGUCCAGGGACAAUGGCAAGACUGUUGUAAAGAGCGUGGCAGGCAUGGACGGGGCUC